CCCUGCAGCGGGCACCACGUGGCCCGGCCGCCCUCCAGACUGUGCCCCGUGCCGUGGGGACAGCGGACGUUUCUUAUGCAACUCUGUCACUGCAAGUCACCAGACCCAGCAGUAAAUCAGUGUCUCUGCACUCACUUGCUUCCAGGAUUUCUGCAUAAUGGCCAUUCCCCCCCCACUACUCUUUUCCUUUCAAGUGCAAAUUUGCCCCAUACUGCACUCCAACAUCCCAAGGAUACAAGUGCCGAGAUGACCGCAGCUGGAAAUUCUCCCAAAGCAAGCAGGGAAAACUGCAUAACUUCUCCGGUAGCAGGCUGUGCAGCCUGGAUUGGGCAACACAGGGAAGCAAGAGCAGAUUUAGAAGGGAACAAGGAUUUGCCCUCGCUGUGCGGAGAAAAGCAGGAAGGAGAAGGGGGUGCCCGUUGCCUUAGGCUAUUGCAAUAUCUUGGACUGGACAGACCACAGGAAACAGGGACUAUUGUAUGGAGAACAAAGAAUAUCCAAGGAAGAACACAAUAGCUAUUCCCCCUAUCUACCAGGGCUCCAGGCUUGAGUUACCUGCUGGAUUUAACUCCUUCUUCCCAGUGCACGCACCACUUCUCCCUCUUUGGCUUCUCCCAUUGCUCUUUGGCUAAUGAACAGCUAAGAGGAAGGUCCAGAUCUGAUGCAAGGGGAGGAACGGGGGAAGGAGCAAGACGUUGUGUCGGGCAAAGGGGAUUCUCAGCCGUUCAGCAGGAACUUCCCCCCGCGCCAGCUAAGCUGCGCAGCCGCCCGAACGCUGCUAGUGAAACAGCGAGAGCAGGACAGGAUGAGCGGAGAUGAGCCUGACUCAGACCAAGAGAGCCGUUUGAGCUCAGGCAGCGCCCUGGUACAACCCCCACCCCCUGAGCACAGUCAGCACACACAUCGCUUGCAGAAAGCGGCUGGAGGGGCCCAGGAGAAGCUGGCAAGGAGGCAAACCAGGAGCCGCAGGGCCACGCCGGGGUGGGGAAGCAACAGAGGAGAGCCUGCACGGCACCGAUUCUGGGCACUGCACACGGUGGGGGACACACACAAGCGAAAAAGGAGCCAAGUUUGGGGGAGCCCCAGGUGCCCCAAAGCAGCCAGCCAAGGAGGACUUGGCAGGAGGCGAGCCGGCCCGCUGCGGCAGACAGAUCAGCAGCCCCCCCCGGGGCCACCGCCCCUUCCAGCGGCGCGGGCUCUUCUGCUGCCUCCUUCUUCUCCCCCCCCGCCCCAGCCCUCGCUUUGCUCUGCAGGAGUUUAACGCUCUCUCGAGCUCCUUGUCCCUCAAGUGCUGCACAAGAGCCGUCACUCAGCGGCUUGGCUUGUCAGGCGGGCACCUCUCCGGGCUGCGGCCCCCCUGGCUUCACGGCCCUCAUCUCUAGGCAACCUGACCUGGACACCGCCAGCUCCGGCUCCCCCGUUCCCAUGGAAAGUGCCACACAAGAGGCUGCGAAGCCUUUUCUCCGCGCUGGGAGAAAAGGGGCUUUGUUAGCUUGCCCAGGGGGACAGCGUGAGAGCCGAGACUCGGGUCUCUGGGAAUCCGAACGGACAAACGAGGCAAAACAAAACAAAAAAAAACCCAGAAGAAAGCCGGAGCUCACAAGAGAGGGAGGGGGAAGGAAAGGAAGAAAAAAACCUCAGCCAUUCCCAGGAUCAUCUGUAGGUGCUCAAAGAGUAUUCCCCCCCCCCAUCAUCCCCACUCUCCACCCCCUCGCAGUGACAGCAGAGCAUAAAGGAGGUUUCCGUUAAAUAACUGUACCGGGCGGGAAACGGUAGAGCUGCUGCCAGGCCCAGGAGACCCGAGCAAAGGGACAGAUCCCAGGCAAGAAGCAGCAGUGCUCAGACUAGCUCGCAGGAGGAGCAGAGCGUGCCCGGCCGGUCCUACAGCCACCAGUCACCCAGGGCACAGACCGUCCCGUUCCCAAUCGCCUCCCCUCCCUUCCCCCCAGCCACUUCAGACUUCCUAAAAAACAGUUCACAAGCGAGAAAUAUGACUCCAGGCUCAGCCAGGGCCCAGGAGGAAACACGUGAAGACAGAAGGAUGGGAAGGUCUGGACCAUGAGUUACUUGGGAAGCUGUCUAAUGAUGAAAAAGUGUCCUACGAGCAGAUGGCAAGGCACAUUUCCUAAGGAAACAGGAUUUUUUUUUCCUCUUCUCUUUUUGCUUCAGUACUUUGGAGGGCGCGUAAGGGGCCGAGUGCAGGGCUUCAGCACAGUCAUGAAUCAGACUAGCUGCAACUGCCCCCAGCCCAGGCGAGCUGC
rnacentral:lncRNA from 1 species